CAAAAAUAUUAAACAAUUUAAACAGCUUAUUCAAAAGUAGUAUGACCUCAAUUUGCUUCAUUUUAAUCAGCAUCAGAAAUGAUUCCAAUCUGUUAGAAAAAAAAAAAUCACCACCUUUUAUUUGAUUUGUCAGCAAAAUAUCCCAGAGACUUUAAAGAGCACCUUUGAAGAUAAAUCAUUGUACAGAACACUGGUGAGACCUUACUAUUGUAUGCAGUACUGGAGACUGUAUCUUCAUAAGUAUAUUGAUACUUUGGAAAGAGUUCAGAGAAGGGCUACUAAACUGGUUCAUGGAUUGCAGGAUAAAACUUACCAGGAAAGGUUAAAGGAUCUUAACAGGUAUAGCUUGGAGGAAAGAUGAGACAGGGGGUAUAUGAUAGAAACAUUUAAAUACAUAAAGGGAACCAACACAGUAAAAGAGGAGACUAUAUUUAAAAGAAGAAAAACUACCACAACAAGAGGACAUUGUCUUAAAUUAGAGGGGCAAAGGUUUAAAAAUAAUAUCAGGAAGUAUUACUUUAUGGAGAUGCAUGGGAUAGCCUUCCAGCUGAAGUGGUUAACACAGUGAGGGAGUUUAAGCAUGCAUGGGAUAGGCAUAAGGCUAUCCUAGACUUAAGAUAAGGCCAGAGACUAAUUAAAGUAUUUCAAAAAUUGGGCAGAAUGGUUCUUAUCUGCCAUUACAUUCUAUGUUUCUCUGUUUUUUUUUUUUUAACAGAUUAGAAUAAUUUCUGAUGCUGAUUUAAACUAAUUAAAUCUGAAAAGGUGCAUAAUAUGAAAAGUAGCUUAUCAUAAGUAAUAUUCUAUUGCAGUGUCUUAUUCACCAGCGUAAUUUCCAGGAAAAUUACAGUUUUGCUUUAAAAUCCAACUGUUUAUGCCAUGCAGGAUUAUCUGAUGUUGAUAUCAGUUUUGGACUAGCAAUAGCAAUUGUUGGACUUUUUACUUUGGUGAAUUCUUUGCUUGAGUGUCUGAAAGCUAUGCAAUGCUAUUUCCAAUGCUGAAUCAAAACGUGCUGCACACUAAUAUUCUAUGGUAUUCUACUAGAAUUAUGGAUCACAAUCUUUCAGAGCUGCAAAGGGGGUAAACAUUUAAACUAUAAAUUUUAAUUCAAGUAUAUUUGAGAAUAUAUACAUACAAUCAUACAAUAUAUAUACACACACACACACUGUAUAUAUACACAUAGAUAUACUGAAAUAUAGGUUACACAGGCUCUAGUGUUCCAUAUUUUUAUAAACAGGUGCAAUGUAGAUGAUAGAUAUAAUUAAAGGAAUUAAAGAAGACACUGGUUCCUAAUUUAAUAUUACUGACCAUAUAUGAAAACGUAAUCCAUCUACAUACAUACAAUAAACACACACAUACAUACAUACAUAGAUAUAGAUGACUAUUGUUUUUGUCACCUAGUGGAAUUAUAUUGCUUAUUAUAAACUGUCACCAAAAAUAAAUACUCAUUUAGUUAUGGUUCGGUCUCAAACUCAAACUUAACUUACUAUCUUGUCUGUGUAGAUAUCCACAGAGUAUCUGCAUAGCCUCUCAAAUUCUCAGCCAACCUAUCUGCAUUAUAUGAGAAAUAGAGUUCCCAAUGCAAUUUACGCAGUAAUGGUUAUCAUGUGGUGCUUUGGAGAUGUUAUGCACCCCAACCUCUUCUACAGAACCAACAUUUGUUUUAAAUUGAUAUUUGUGCCUGCCAGGACAGCAGUGUAUGGUCAUGGCCAGUUUGAGCAAAACAAUAGUGUAAUCUUGUAGGAAAUAUAUAAACAGCUCUCCUAAUUUGUUCACAUUAGGUGUAUUGGACUGGGCUGUAACAUCUUAUGAGCUUCCUCCUGAUGCUAGAAGGAUGCAACAUGGGGGGAGGGGGAGGGUGCCUGCAAAAUGUUACCAUUACACAAGGGAAGCAAUCCUUCUCUAUGUAUGUGUGUGUGUUAUGUAUGUGUGUGUGUGUGUGUGUAUAUAUAUAUAUAUAUACAGAGAGAGAGAGAGACAUUUGUUUUAAUUAUAAUUUUUUUUAAUAUGUUUU